GGGAGGUUUGGCACCUCGAUGUCGGCUCAUCGCAUCCUGGGGCUGUAGUCGGUCCCAAGGGUUGGGCUGUUCGCCCAUUAAAGCGGUACGCGAGCUGGGUUCAGAACGUCGUGAGACAGUUCGGUCCCUAUCCGUCGUGGGCGUAGGAAAUUUGAGAGGAGCUGUCCUUAGUACGAGAGGACCGGGAUGGACAUACCUCUGGUGUACCAGUUGUCGUGCCAACGGCAUAGCUGGGUAGCUAUGUAUGGACGGGAUAAGUGCUGAAAGCAUCUAAGCAUGAAGCCCCCCUCAAGAUGAGAUUUCCCAACUUCGGUUAUAAGAUCCCUCAAAGAUGAUGAGGUUAAUAGGUUCGAGGUGGAAGCGUGGUGACACGUGGAGCUGACGAAUACUAAUCGAUCGAAGACUUAAUCAAAAUU
rnacentral:rRNA from 1 species